rnacentral:rRNA from 1 species
UACGUAGGGUGCAAGCGUUAAUCGGAAUUACUGGGCGUAAAGAGUGCGCAGGCGGUUUUGCAAGACCGAUGUGAAAUCCCCGGGCUUAGCCUGGGAACUGCAUUGGUGACUGCAAGGCUAGAGUGUGUCAGAGGGAGGUGGAAUUCCGCAUGUAGCAGUGAAAUGCGUAGAUAUGCGGAGGAACACCGAUGGCGAAGGCAGCCUCCUGGGAUAACACUGACGCUCAUGCACGAAAGCGUGGGGAGCAAACAGGAUUAGAUACCCUGGUAGUCCACGCCCUAAACGAUGUCUACUAGUUGUCGGGGAUUAAUUUCCUUGGUAACGCAGCUAACGCGUGAAGUAGACCGCCUGGGGAGUACGGUCGCAAGAUUAAAACUC